UUAGACGAAUCAUCUGGAAAGAUGAAUCAAAGAAGGUAAUAAUCCUGUAGUCGAAAAUGUUGUCUCUCUUGAGUGGAUCCUGAGUACGACGGAGCACGUAAAAUUCCGUCGGAAUCUGGGAGGACCAUCUCCUAAGGCUAAAUACUCUCUAGUGACCGAUAGUGAACCAGUACCGUGAGGGAAAGGUGAAAAGCACCCCGGAAGGGGAGUGAAAUAGAACCUGAAACCGUGUGCUUACAAGUAGUCAGAGCCCGUUAAUGGGUGAUGGCGUGCCUUUUGUAGAAUGAACCGGCGAGUUACGAUUUGAUGCAAGGUUAAGCAGUAAAUGUGGAGCCGUAGCGAAAGCGAGUCUGAAUAGGG
rnacentral:rRNA from 1 species